AAUCGAACUCGGAGAUAGCUGGUUCUCCUCGAAAUAGCUUUAGGGCUAGCCUUGAGGUAAAACAUGUGGGGGUAGAGCACUGAAUGAUUUAGGGGCCAAACCAGGUUACCGACAUCUAUCAAACUGCGAAUACCAUGUGGAAGUACUCAGGAGUCAGACUGCGGGAGCUAAGUUCCGUGGUCAAAAGGGAAAGAGCCCAGACCGACAAUUAAGGUCCCAAAGAGAUAGUUAAGUGGAAAACGAUGUGAAAAUGCAAAGACAACCAGGAUGUUGGCUUAGAAGCAGCCAUACAUUAAAAGAGUGCGUAACAGCUCACUGGUCGAGUGAAUUUGCGCGGAAAAUUACCGGGGCUAAACUAUCCACCGAAAUUACGGAUUGCAGUACAUUUAACAAUGUAUGCGGAAAGAGAAAAGAAGAAAGAAGUAUAUAUUGUUAAGUGUACUGUAGUGGUAGAGGAGCAUUCUGUAGUAGGAAGAAGCUAAAGCGAGAGCAUUAGUGGACGAGACAGAAGAGAGAAUGCUGGAAUAAGUAGCGAGAGCAAGGUGAGAAUCCUUGCCGUCGAAAGUCUAAGGUUUCCUGGGGAAGGUUCGUCCGCCCAGGGUAAGUCGGGACCUAAGGAGAGGCCGAGAAGGCGUAUCUGAUGGACAGCAGGUUGAAAUUCCUGCACUACCGAUACUUUAAAAAACGUCAAGGGACGCAGGAGAGGAAGGAAAGCGAGGAAGAGGAAAGACUCGUAUCGAAAGAUAUAGUGAAAAAAUGAAGUAACGAAUUUCCAAGAAUCACACUGACGAGAAAAGCUUGAUGACAUUAAGUAAAGGUACCCGUACCGCAAACCGACACAGGUAGAUGAGGAGAGGAUCCUAAGACGAACGGGAGAAGCAUUGUUAAGGAACUCGGCAAAAUGACCCCGUAACUUCGGGAGAAGGGGAACCUAGGUAAAACUAGGUCGCAGAGAAAAGGCCCAAGCAACUGUUUAACAAAAACACAGGUUUCUGCUAAAUCGAAAGAUGAAGUAUAGGAGCUGACGCCUGCCCAGUGCUGGAAGGUCAAAGGGAAGUGUUAGUAUUAACUACGAAGCACAGAACUCAAGCCCCAGUGAACGGCGGCCGUAACUAUAACGGUCCUAAGGUAGCGAAAUUCCUUGUCAGGUAAGUUCUGACCCGCACGAAAGGCGUAAUGAUUUGGGCACUGUCUCGACAAUGUACCCGGCGAAAUUGUAGUACUAGUGAAGAUGCUAGUUACCUGCGACAAGACAGAAAGACCCCAUGGAGCUUUACUGUAGUUUGAUAUUGGGUUUUGGUAAUUUAUGUACAGGAUAGGUGGGAGACAGAGAAGGAUGUGCGUCAGCAUAUCUGGAGUCAACGUUGGGAUACCACUCUUAAGUUAUUGAAAUUCUAACUUGUGAUCAUAAACUGGUCAGAGGACAAUGUCAGACGGGCAGUUUGACUGGGGCGGUCGCCUCCAAAAGAGUAACGGAGGCGCCCAAAGGUUCCCUCAGUGCGGACAGAAAUCGCACAAAAGAGUGUAAAGGCAGAAGGGAGCUUAACUGGAAGAUAGACAUAUCGAGCAGAUACGAAAGUAGGGCUUAGUGAUCCGGUGGAAUUGAAUGGAAAAGCCAUCGCUCAACGGACAAAAGUUACCCUGGGGAUAACAGGCUUAUCUCCCCCAAGAGUUCACAUCGACGGGGAGGUUUGGCACCUCGAUGUCGGCUCAUCGCAUCCUGGAGCGGAAGUACGUUCCAAGGGUUGGGCUGUUCGCCCAUUAAAGCGGUACGCGAGCUGGGUUCAGAACGUCGUGAGACAGUUCGGUCCUUAUCUGUCGCAGGCGUAGGAUAUUUGAAGGGAGCUGUCCUUAGUACGAGAGGACCAGGAUGGACAUACCGAUGGUUUAUCAGUUGUCACACCAGUGGCAUGGCUGAGUAGCCAAGUAUGGAAGGGAUAAACGCUGAAAGCAUCUAAGUGUGAAGCCCACCCUAAGAUAAGAUAUCUCAUACCGUAAGGUAGU
rnacentral:rRNA from 1 species